rnacentral:lncRNA from 1 species
CAAACUCGUUACAUGUUCUUAUAUUCAUUCAAUAAUAGUACCAUUUUUAUUAUAUUGUUGGUUUACGGGUUGAGCGAGCAUUGGUUUUCCGGAAGUUAUGUUCCUCGGUAAGGUUUUAAUGAAGCUCAACUCAUUGUACGUUUGACAUGGAUCGAUCUCCUUGUUUAUUUUUAAUUUUUACUUUUUAUUUAUUUAUUCAUUUUUUUGCGUGUUGCAGGUUAAAUUUCUUCCCAUUCGAGGUGCAGUCUUGUUGUUGCAUUACUCAAGUGAUUCUCUUUCUACCCUUUUCUUUGCAAAAAAAUGAUUUUUUCAGUUAUGUUUUUGAAGUGGUGUUAUGUUUGAAUUGAAUUGAUGGUUUGUAAUGCUUCAAGUUGUUGCUAUUCUACGUCAUCCUGCUCUGUGAUGAAAUGUUUUGCUUUAAUUAAUAAUUAUGUGAUCAUUUUAUGCAUUGAGCAUAAGGUAUGGAAACACUUGAUCUUCAAGGUGUUAUUGAUGAUUUUAUUUUUCAAAAUGUUGAAAGAUUUAAAUUAUUUUAAUAGAUAUUUUAUCAUUGUCUUUUGGUUAUUGCACUUUAUAGAUUAAAGUUAUAUCGUCACACAAGUAUGGAAGAUGAUUAUACGUUAUUUAUAGCUAAUAAUAAAAAUAUUGAAGUUUCAUUUCUUAAAGAGCUACUCCCUCCGUCCCACUCCAAUAGGCUCGCUUUCCUUUUUGGGACGUCCCACUCCAAUAGGCCCAGUCUAAAAUUGAAAAUAAUUAGGGCUUUAAUAAAAUUCAAUAGUUACUUAAUUAAAGGAGAUAUACCCUUUAAUCUACUCAUUCAAAAUAAUUUCACUUCAGAUUUUUCCCCUCUCUCUCCGGGAACCUUCCCCUUCCCCCUUCCCCUUUCCGUCAACUUCCCCACCGCCGCCGUCAAAUUUAACAAUAAUAAUAGAAAUUAAACGAAAUUUCAUCCAAUUUAUGGCUAACAAAUUACGGAUGGAAAAUGCCGACAAAGAGAAUGACCGUUUAAUUUGAGGGACACCUUAAUCCCUCAAAACGUCAUUUUAAUUGCAAUAGGGGGAAUGUUUUGUUCCUAAUCUAUUUAAUAUAUUAAAGGAUUACACGUUGAAGAGCUCACAAUCAUUCUCUAUCCUAGGUGGCACUCUAGAAUGCUUAUAUUUCUAAUUUUCUAAAUCCUUCAUAUUUCAUGCCUCUUAAAUCCAAAAAAUCCAAAAAAAAUAUAAACAAAAUAUAAUCAUAACCGUUACUUUUUAUACAUUUAAUAUCAAUAACUAUUUUCUUCAAAUUUAUCAUAGAAAGUCAAACGUUUAUAUAAUGCAAUACUUUUUAUACAUUUAAUAUCAAUAACUAUUUUCUUCAAAUUUAUCAUAGAAAGUCAAAUGUUUAUAUAAUGCAAUGUAAUUAAUGGUUGGAAUAAAAAGUAAACUACACCAUAUACUAUUUUCAAAAAUCUCUAUUCUCCUUCAUUCUCAUUUUUUCAUAAGUCAUAGUAUCUCUUAUCCACAUUAAUUUUUAAUCAAACUCCAUCAUGACUAAAGACUAUAUAAAUACUUGUGUAAUAUCUCAUCCUUUAUAUAUUUGCACCAUCAAUUUAAUUUGAUCAAUUAGUCAAAUUAGAUUAAAAUUUUGAUUAAAAAAACUAUUUAUUUGGCCAACUAAUUAAUUAAUUAGUCAAAUUGUCUUAUUGUAAAGAAGAUGUUUAGUUGGCCAAUAAAUAGUUAUAUUUAAAAUAGAUCAAAUAAUUAAGUUUUGUUAUUUAUUAUACAAUCAAAUCAACCAACUACAAUACGAAUUAAUUAUUAUUACUUUUUUUAGAUCUAAAUAUGUUACUUUGUUUAACUAGAUUAACCAAUAACCGGAUUGAAAAAUUCAAUUAUUUGAAGUAGGUUCGAGUGAAAUUUAGUUUGACUUAAAUGUGAAAACUCUAAAUGUUAGUUAUCUAAUUCAAUUUUAAAAGAAUGACAAGUUUACCACAGUACUAGCAUUGAGAAACCUGAAAAUUCUAAUUGUCUGUUAAACAUAAGAUGAUUUUCUACAUACUAAUAUUAAUAUAUAAAAUAAAUUAAAAUAUAGUAAAAUUUUUCUUAAUAUAUUUAAAACUAAUUUAUCUUAAUAUGCCUGCAUAAGUUUUUUAUUUAUUCAACGUUGCAAAAUUAUCUUUUGUAUUAAAUUAAUGACAAUAUAAAUUGACCAAUUGAUUUGUAAGCAUUUCCGCUAGGUAUAUAAUUUUUUAUAGCUCUAGACGAGAUGAGUCUCAAAAUUAACUUUUGAUCUUUCAAACUCUAGAUGAGAUAAUCUUAAAAAUUCAUAGGUGAUCUAUCAAACUUCAUACGAGAUGUACUUAUAAGUCGAUUUUGCUCCAAACAAUGUGAUGCUCAUAGGUUAGAAGUGGUUCGCGAAACUCCAAACGAGAUAAUACUUAUAGCUAAAUUUCGAUCAUUUAAGCUUCAAAUGAGAUACUCAGCUACGGUCUUCAAACUCCAAAUGAGUGAUGCUUAUAACUCAAUUCCGAUCUAUCAAACUAUAGACAAGAUGAUGGUUACAAGUCUGUUAUAGUUUUUCAAGCUCCACACGAGAUGAUGCUCACAAGUCAGGUUUUAUCUUUCAAGUUGAAGAUGAGAUGAUACUCAUAAGCCAAAUCUCAUAUAACAAGCUUCAGAUAAGAUAAUAAUUAUAAGUUCAACGUACAAAAGUCAAAUGCGAUAUUUCAAGUUACAGACAAGAUAAUGCUCAAAAGUUUUGUAAGGUUCGAAUGAGACGAUGUUCGUAUAUAAGAUGGUUUUCCUAUGUAACACCCCGACUUUUCCUUAAUAGAAUUUCACGAUAAAUUUUGAAAUUAGAACUAUUUUAGUUGAUUCUCUCCUGGAUAAUUUUUUUUUAGAAAACAUUUCUUUUUAGCAAAAAGAUUUUAUCAAAGUUUUAUAAUUUUAAUAUUAGAAUUUUAUACAAAUCGAAUCUUUCAUGCUUUGAUAUUUUUUUAGAAAAUCAAUAAUAUUUACAGCAGUGAACUUGAUUCAGAUUUUCAAAUUUGUUAUAUAUGCCUUGAGCCAAAUUCAGCUAUUGAGAUUCUAAAAAGAGAGUUAUUAUUACUGGGAUUUGAUCUUUGUUUUUGGAUCAAACUUUGGGAGAAAACCUUUUGAAGCCCAACAUUUUACAACAUUUUAUAAGCUGCAGAAUUUUUUUAGCGUGCAUCUUUUCCAUUCAAUAACUAAUUGAAUGGAAAUGGUUAUUCCACAUCCCCAAUUUUCAGCUAUAAGAUCCUCAGACCUUCCCAGCUUCUUCACCCAGUUCCAAAUUUAUUACUACUCACCCCAGAUUUUCUUCCGAUAAAUUUUACAACUUUCUUUCACAGAUUCGAUGCCACGAGCUGUGUAAACUUUGAGCAGAUUCAUAUCACACAAAGGUUUGCUUCCUUCUAUUCAAGAACACAAUAACAUAGCUAUCACCAAUUGUUUUCACAAAACAAAAUCAAUCAAGAUGUUCAUAUGCAUGUACUUUGCAUAAUCUGAAGCAUUUAUUUCAUAAACUGAAUCAAGUUUUCUUGAAGUGAAUAAAUGAGUAGAAAAAUGUUUUUAAAUUGGAAAAAAAGGGGAAUAAUUUGCUGUCGGAUGUGGGUGACUCGAGGCAAGUCGGGGACUGAGAGGCGGCUGCGGCUUGAUUGCUGCUGCUGCUGCUGCUCGAGAGUUGAGGGAGAAACCGGCGGCGGCGGAGGCUGUUGAUUGUUGUUGUCUGUCGGUCGGGAGGAGAGAAAAUGGGCAGGGCGGUGGUCCUUGUGGGCUGCUGUUCAGCCGGUCGAUGGAGGAGGAAGGCGGCUGAGCGGCGACGCCGCUGUUACCGCGGCUGUUGUCGCCGGCAAGGGAGAGGUGCCGGGCGUCCGUUGGAGAGGAAGAAGAACAAAAAUAAAAAAUAGAGAGAGACCGAUAGAUAAGAGAGAUAGAAGGGAGAUGGGCUUGUUGAAUUAUUGUUGGGUUUAAUUAAAUGAUGAGCAUGGGCUGCAUUUUGAUGUUGAGCUUGGCACUUGUUUAUUUAGUGAGAUGAAUUG